rnacentral:rRNA from 1 species
UACAGAGGGUGCGAGCGUUGUCCGGAAGCACUGGGCGUAAAGGGUGAGUAGGUGGCCUGUUAAGCGUGUGGUGAAAGCCUGGGGCUCAACCCCAGGUCUGCCGUGCGAACUGACAGGCUUGAGCAGAGUAGAGGCGAGUGGAAUUUCGGGUGUAGCGGUGGAAUGCGUAGAUAUCCGAAAGAACACCGGUGGCGAAGGCGGGUCUCUGGACAGUUCCUGACGCUGAGGCACGAAGGCCAGGGGAGCAAACGGG